CUCAUUUUAACUAAUUAUAUCGGCAAAGACCCUAUUUCCAAAUGAGGUCCUAUACAGAGGCUGAGUUUCAUUCCUGGCUUCCUUUCCCAGAAGGAGGCUGUCAGGAAGGCUCAAGUGGACAGAUGGAUUUCCUUUCAAAAUCCUCUCGAUUGCAUUCGAUACGGUAUUUGGAGGAGUUUAG